CAGAGAUAUGAAGUCUCUCUGGAACUGAGGCUCGAUCACCUGCAUCAUGUGCUUCACCUGGCUGGUCUCGCACCGAUCGAUCAGCUCGUCCAGAGCCAGCAGCCUCUCCGGGCCGCUCCACGUCUGCAGAAAGAGAAAAAUGAGUCGGUUUAUGCGGGCCGCGGUCGGCUCCUUUCAGCGGUUGCAUCAGGACAGCUCGGAGGCAGCACUUUGCAGACGCACUCAAAGACCGAAAUCUAUUCAAGAAGAUGCAGAACGUGAAGAAAUGUGGAUUGUGCUCUGCAGCGCUGCAGGACAGGAGAGGUGGAGUCUGAAGACCGAGUUUACCUGGAAGGUGAGAAGCCAGUCCUGCAGCCCGGAGGGAGGUGGGCCGGAGUUGACGCGUCGGCGCUGAGCUGAAUGCCCAUUGGCUAGCCGCAGGUCGCCGAAGGUCGUGGGCGUGGCCUGAGCCAGACUGGAGGGGCUGCAGGAAGAGAAAUCUCAACCCAAGUUUUGAAUUUUUUCCAGCGUCAGUAUACGUCAACUUCCAUGCUCCUGACAAAGCAAAGUAUUCCCUCAGUAUGAUGCUCCCACUACCAUGUUUCACAGAGCGAGCGGAGAGCUCAUGAUGACCUGAUGCCUGGUGGAGAUUUAAAAACCCACAGAUCUGUUUACUGUGGCUCCUGAAGGGAAUGAUCUGCACUGGAUGUUUUAUUUAGGGGUUUCAGAGUGAAAGAGAGGAAUCUGAAUCUGAACGCCACACUGUUCCCAUAAUUUAAACCUGAGUGUCAUUUAGCUUUUGUUUCUCAAAUACAUGCUGCUAUAAUCCCAAUAAACUGAAAGUUGUAGUUUAUUGAAACAAAAUGAGAUUGCUGGUAGCUUCAAGGUGAUUAUCAUCUUUAAAUGGAGGUGAUGAAGCGUUUCAUCUGCUGUUCCAGCAGC